AUUCAGAUACACCAUUGACAUGAAAAUCAAUGCUUCAAGAGAGGCUGUGAUUGACAGUUUGAGGACAUUGACCCAUGGACAAACAUUCUCAAAGUGUGUCAAGAAAGAAAUUAAAAUCCCCAGUACAAAAAUCACCACAGGUGAGAAAAGGAUGAGAUUUAAAAAUUAUUUUUACAUGUGUUCUCGAUUCUUUUAAUAACUUUUUAAAAAUUGCAGUGUGUCUAUCAUCUUUGAAUAAAACUGAGUGCACUUGUGAGAAUCAGUACAUCUGGUCCUCUGAACAAUGCUCUAAACAAGGCGUUUGUGGCCCGAGUCAGAAUAUUACAUGUGGAUGCAUCACUUCUCUUCCAACUGAUGGGUCAUUUUGUCGGCCACCAUCAGGUACAAUAAACUUUUUUUUUCAUUUUGAGAUGGUUUCUGAACAGAUAAUUAUUUUUGUUACAUUUUUUCAGCUUACAUGAAGUCAUUUAGAUACACCAUUGACAUAAAAGUUAAUGCUUCAAAUAAAGCUGUGAUCGACCGUUUGAGGGCGAUGAUCAGUGGACAGAAAUUCCCAAUGUGUGUCAAGAAAGGCAUGAAAAUCUCCAGUACAAACAUCACAACAGUGUGUGUCUCAAAUAUGAGCGAAACUGAGUGCAGCUGUGAGAAUCAGUACAUCUGGUCCUCUGAACAAUGCUCUAAACAUGGCGCUUGUGGUUCGAGUCAAAAUAACAAAUGUGGAUGCAUCAAUUCUCUUCCAACUGAUGGGACAAACUGCCAUCCACCACCAAGUACAAUAAACUCUUCUCAUUUAAUUUCAAAAUGAAGUUGACAGUUGGCUUGAUUGUGACAUGAUAUAGUUUCUAAACAGAUAAUUAUUUUCAUUUUGUUAUAUUUUUUAGCUCCUUUAAAGUCCUUCAGAUACACCAUUGACAUAAAAGUUAAUGCUUCAAAUAAAGCUGUGAUCAACCGUUUGAGGGCGAUGAUCAGUGAACAGAAAUUCCCAAUGUGUGUCAAGAAAGGCAUGAAAAUAUCCAGUACAAACAUCACUACAGUGUGUCUCUCAAAUUCAAGCAUGACUCAAAACAAUACAUGUAGAUGCAUCACUUCUAUUCCAACUAAUGGGAUUUUCUGUCAGCCACCAAGAGCACAACUUAAGUCAUUCAGAUACACCAUCGACAUAAAAAUCAAUGCUUCAAGAGGUUUUGGGGUGGACUGUUUGAAGGUAUUGAUUAAUGGACAAAAAUUCCCAAUGUGUGUCAGGAAAGGCAUGAAAAUCUCCAGUGCAAACAUCACAACAGGUGAGAGAAUAAUGAGAAGAGUAAUGACAUUCUGUUUAUAUUCAUCUGACAAACUAUUUUAA
rnacentral:lncRNA from 1 species